GAUGAAGGUUUUCGAAUUGUAAACUGCUGUUAUAGGGGAAGAAAAACUUGGAUAGGAAAUGAUCCAAACUUGACGGUACCUUAUUAGAAAGUGACGGCUAACUAUGUGCCAGCAGCCGCGGUAAUACAUAGGUCACAAGCGUUAUCCGGAAUUAUUGGGCGUAAAGCGUUCGUAGGCGGUUUGUUAAGUCUGGAGUUAAAGACUGGGGCUCAACCCCAGCCCGCUCUGGAUACUGGCUGACUAGAGUUACAUAGAGGUAAGUGGAAUUCUUAGUGGAGCGGUGGAAUGCGUAGAUAUUAGGAAGAACACCAAUGGCGAAGGCAGCUUACUGGAUGUACACUGACGCUCAGGGACGAAAGCGUGGGGAGCAAACAGGAUUAGAUACCCUGGUAGUCCACGCCGUAAACGAUGAUCAUUAGCCGCUAGAAUAUUUAGUGGCGCAGCUAACGCAUUAAAUGAUCCGCCUGAGUAGUAUGCUCGCAAGAGUGAAACUUAAAGGAAUUGACGGGGACCCGCACAAGCGGUGGAGCAUGUGGUUUAAUUUGAAGAUACGCGUAGAACCUUACCCACUCUUGACAUCUUCCGCAAUACUAUGGAGACAUAGUGGAGGUUAACGGAAUGACAGAUGGUGCAUGGUUGUCGUCAGCUCGUGCCGUGAGGUGUUAGGUUAAGUCCUGCAACGAGCGCAACCCCUGUCUUUAGUUACUAACGGAUAAUGCCGAGGACUCUAGAGAGACUGACUGGGUAACCAGUAGGAAGGUGGGGACGACGUCAAAUCAUCAUGCCUCUUACGAGUGGGGCAACACACGUGCUACAAUGGACGGUACAAAGAGAAGCAAUAUGGUGACAUGGAGCAAACCUCAGAAACCGUUCUCAGUUCGGAUUGAAGUCUGAAACUCGACUUCAUGAAGUUGGAAUCGCUAGUAAUCGUAGAUCAGCUACGCUACGGUGAAUACGUUCUCGGGCCUUGUACACACCGCCCGUC
rnacentral:rRNA from 1 species